rnacentral:rRNA from 1 species
UGGGGAAUUUUGGACAAUGGACGCAAGUCUGAUCCAGCCAUGCCGCGUGCGGGAAGAAGGCCUUCGGGUUGUAAACUGCUUUUGUCAGGGAAGAAACGAGUUUCUCUAAUACAGAGACUUAAUGACGGUACCUGAAGAAUAAGCACCGGCUAACUACGUGCCAGCAGCCGCGGUAAUACGUAGGGUGCAAGCGUUAAUCGGAAUUACUGGGCGUAAAGCGUGCGCAGGCGGUUAUAUAAGACAGAUGUGAAAUCCCCGGGCUCAACCUGGGAACUGCAUUUGUGACUGUAUAGCUAGAGUACGGCAGAGGGGGAUGGAAUUCCGCGUGUAGCAGUGAAAUGCGUAGAUAUGCGGAGGAACACCGAUGGCGAAGGCAAUCCCCUGGGCCUGUACUGACGCUCAUGCACGAAAGCGUGGGGAGCAAACA